GGGGUGGUGGCUCAGUGUUAGAGUGCUUCCCAAGCAUGUAUGAGGCACUAGGUUCGAUUCUCAGCACCUCA
rnacentral:tRNA from 1 species